CUCUACAGCCAUGCCACCCUGAACAAGCCCAAUCUCGUCUGAUCUCGGAAGCUAAGCAGGGUCGGGCCUAGUCAGUACUUGGAUGGAAGACCACCUAGGAAAAUCAGGUGCUAUAGGCG
rnacentral:rRNA from 1 species